UCUUUGAAACUUUGUGAUUCUGGAAGUUCCCCCAGCGUCUGCGAUCUGCGGUCUCCGGGUGCUUUGGAGGGCAGCAUGUGUCUGCAUCGCGCCUGGCUCUGGCUCGGGAGCUGGAGAGCUGGAGGCAUUUCUGUGUUUGCAAUUAAGACUUGUUUUCAUCUCUGAGCUGUGGUGUUUCAGACGGAGUUUUUUUUCACUUAUGACAGACGUAUGGGGAAAUGCUGUGGGUUUCCAAAAAUCCAGAUAACUGGAUUUCACUGCCUGUAUAUCAGAAAACAGUGGUGAUGUGUAUUUGUCUCAAAGAUGUAUGUGAAACACGCCGCUGUAGCCAGGGCCCGUGCUACUGCUUCUUGCAGUUUUAACGAAGACAGUUAAAAAGCUUUAUCAAAUUGAUCUUCAGUUUGGAGAUCAUUAAUGAACUAACCUCCUUCAUGGACAGAUCACUCAAGGCCCCAAAUAGCAUGUGACUUCCUUUGUUUUGCAGUAACUCAUUGGAAACAUUUACCAAAAACCUUAAUGUACAUAGAAAAUGCUAAACGGUUUUUAAGUGAUGGGUCCUUUUUAUUGCUGUGCUGAACCAUGCUUCUUGUCAUGUGCCAAAGAUAAAUACGUAAUUUGGCCUGCAUUUCAGAAUCUUGGUCCCAACAAGGCAGAGGGAGGGGGAGUUUAAUCUAGUAGUAAGAGCAAAUGUCUGGUCAGAUGUGACUUUCUACCAAAAAAUAUUUUUAGGGUUGUUGAUUAUCUGAGGAUAUUUCAUAAAUUUACUAAUUUUGGAAAUUGUUAACUUAAAAAAAGAAUUUUGGUCCUGGUUGCUCCCGAAGUGCAUUGUUAGUAGAAGAGGCUGUGUCAAUGAAAGUGCUUUUGCUCUGGAGGGUUUCUCUGUGACGUGGUUUCUGAGAGGCAUCAUGUCAGUGCACCCCAGUCUGUGGGUCUUUCUGCUCCUUCUCCUGUGGAUUCAGACAACACUCCCUCCCUCUGCUGCAUCCAUCUUCUUCCUUUGGGACCUGAAGCUCUGCUGCUUCCUCUGUGACCUUGGGCACACUGCCUGCCUGGGUCUCUUGGCCAGUCAGAGGCUCAGGCUGUCUGGGGGAGGGUGCGAUCCUCGGAAGGUUCCUGACUCCUGCAGCCUGCGUGUGCCAUAGCCGACUGCAGCUUGUGGUGGGAUGCGAGGGCUGGCGCUGCCCUUCCUCUGUGCUCCUCUGUGCUCCUCUGUGAACACACCAUUGUGCAUGGAUGUCCCUGGAGUGUGUGUGGCGCACAUGGCGGUUUUGCUCUCUGCUGGCAUCCCCUGUGUAGAAACUAGGUCUUAGUGCAUGUGAACCACCACCUUGUGUGCCCACAUCAAAGGAGCACCGUAUACAGCCACUUGACUUAAAAUCCCAGGGUGAAGCGACAACUGUUGCUCUUGUUGAUGCAUGUGGACAAUUUUUCUUUUCCAGAAAUGCUAAAUAACUUUUAUGUGAAGUUACAAGUAUUUGUGUUCUUUAUAAACAUAAGGCAGUUAAGUUAGCUUUACCAUUGCCAUUAGGAGAAAUAAAGGCUACUUUCUUUGGGCAAAGGGAAGAGUUUUUCUCCUAGAGCAGGGACUUCCAGUAAUAAAUAUAUUUUCCUUGGCAAUAUAGUAAAUAAAUGUGUCAGUGAAUCUGAAACACAAUUUACUACAGAUGAGGCUAUCUUAAGUUUUCUUCGACACUCUAUUUUAUUUUUAAAAAUUAGUAAAUUGAUUUUGUGGCCCACUAGUGAGUUUCAGCUCUCAGUUUGAGAAACCGAGAGUCUUCAUGCCCUCCUGCCUGGACUCCCCUGGCAGCCAGAGAGGACAGGUGCUGGCCUUCGCGAUGACCGUUGUGGCAUCAGCUGCAGCUUACUCACACGUUCUUAUUGCCUACGGACAAUAGGUAUUUAUUUAAAAUAAUGGUAUAAAGUUCUAUAAAGAAAGAAUUGCCAUUUCACGAUUAAAAUGGGUUAAAUGAAGUUUCUAAUCUUUUCUGUUUCCCUGUCCCUCCCUCCUCAGUUCCUCCUAAGAUGACCAAUACAAACCGCCUUUCUCUGGGCUCACAAAAAUACACAGAACUCAUGAACACAUGCAUGGGGUUUUCUUUAUUUUGCAAACAACGGAACCCAUUGCUGAGAAACUUGGCUUUUCAUCGAUGAGCAGGUGAUGGCAAGUCAUGAUCCUUGCUGCCUAGAGACCUCACCCAUCUGCUUCUAGCUGCAGUUUUUCGGGAUGCAGCUGUCCCGUGGUACCUGUCUGGCCCGGACCUCACUAGCAGGUAUCCAGGCUGUGGCCACCCUGACAAUGCUGAUGGACACUUAGAUCACGUGGGUGCUGCUGUAUUUUCAAGAACAUGGUUCCCAUAGGGUGGUGUUGGGUCAAACAGGACGUGCACUUUCAGUUGCCAAAUUGCUCUGCAGGAAGGUUGCUCCAACGCCCUCUUUGUGAGCCUUUGAGAGGUUCCAGGCCCUGUGUGAGCCUUGUGCUGAGUUCACUCAGGUCAGCGCUCGAGGCCAGACAUUGUCUUGCUGGGCAAAGCUCUGCCCAUGAGUGAGGGAGUGGAAGGAAGCAGAAUGAGGGCAGGCACGCCUCAGACCCCCUUCCACAUCCCAGCUGACUGCUUAGCCUGCUGCUGCUCCUGUUCCCUCAGCCUUCUGCGGCUAGUCAGAGAAUCAUUUCAACAUCAAACAUUGAUUGCACUUUUGUGGACAAGAUAGGAAUCUGCUGCUUUUGCAUUUCUCAGCACUGGGCCUGUGGCUCCACGAGGUCUUGCAGCAUGGUGCCCAUGUUGAAUGGCACAGGGUGUCUUUUCACAUCCUGCCUUUGAGUUUUGCAGAGGCAAAGGCCAUGGCUUCAUCUCGUACCCCUUGUGGAGGAGCUGGUGCCAAGUAGCUCAUGCUCAGGUAGUGGUCUGGGAGAAGCCGAGGAGGGAGUCUGUCCGCGUGCCUGGACCAAGUCCUCUUCUCCUGUUUCCUCAUCCUCUGUUCCUGUGCAUGAAGUUCAUCUGUCGGCCGGAGUUGGAGAUGCAAGCAGCUUCUGGUGCUCUGCCCAUGAAGGCCUGCAGAGGAGGCAGGGGGCGGGACAGACACCUCGCUUCCUCACUGGGGUGUGUGGGGUGGUGCUUCUUCCCUUGACGCUGACCUGAAACAGUACUGUCGCGGAGUGCCUAGGUCCCAGGCUCAAGCCUGCAGCCAUGACGUACCAUGUGCACCAGCCUUAAAUUCCCACGUUAAAGGAACCCACGUGCCUCUUGGAGCAGGUGCUCUCAGCUGUAUAUAUGCUUUCCUCUGGCACCUCUGAUGCCCAAGGAGAGUGGGUAGAAGCCCCCAAACAGUGCUACCUGUUGUCUUUCUCUUGGCAGCCCUUCUCAGCUGGGCCAGGAGGACCCCACCACCACCACCAUGCCCAAGACCUCCCUUCUCGGCUGGGUCCGCAGCCCCCUCCCUGGGACCUCCCUUCCUAACCACAGAGGCUCCCUUCUGAGUUGCAGCCCAACUUGAGUUGCACAUGAAGGAGGUGGAGGGCUGUCAGUCAGAGUGGGAUACUGCAGGAACAAUCCCCAAGCUUCUGGCUUCCAGAGACCAGGUUGCUGUGUUGCUCAUAUCACAUGUUGUCUCCACAUGUAGUCCACAUUGUCCUCACUCAGGGACCAGGUGACAUGCAUGCACCACCUGGAAAAUGGCUAGCCUCUGUAGCAGGGUGAGGGAUGUGGCAUCAUUUCCGCUCACAUUUCAUUGGCCCCACCGGGUCUCGUGGAGGCAGAGAGGCAUAGUCCUGCAGUGCCCGUGGAAGAGAAUAACCUGAACACAGCCGAGGGGAAAGAGGAAGGUGGAGGAGGGAGCAAAGGAGGUGCAUUCUGUGUCCAGAAGCAAGAAGUCUCUUGAGACCAGGCAGCAAAGCAACCAAGAGAGGCCCAGAUGUUCUGAUGGCAGCAUUUUUAUGAAUUCAUGGCCUCCCAUGGCAACUGUUUUGAAGAACAAGUCAUCUCUUUACAGAAAGCUAUUCUCUAAGAAUGUUGGAAGACUGGUCAGCUCCUGCCUGCCGCACGUGCCCACUACAGUGGAUCCAACACAGGCAAGACUCAGCAUUGGCAAAGCCUCAGUACUCUAGUGCCACAUCCAGAGAGGAUAGAAACCUCUCCCGAGAGCCACAGGGGCAUCCAUGGGCACAAAGGCCGCGAGUCCUGUCUUGGUGUCUUCAGGCUCCUGGUUCUUUCUCUCCUUGUGGAAGACACAUUUUGUAGUUGUCCUGUGCGUUCAGCUCUAAGGAUGGCUGGUAAGAGGUCGCCAUGCACUUCUAAGAGCGGCCGCCGUUGGGUGCUGUGGGACCUCUGGCUGAAAGGAGAAGGCUUGCACUGGGGGCUUUAAACGGAUGGCAGUUUUGAUGUGGGGGUGCAUGUUGCUUUCACAUGGGAAGCUCUACAGGUACAUAAGCAGCUGCCACGUGAGCUUGUGGGUUUGGCCAUGGUGCCCAGCACAGCCUAGGGCUCUGCUGCUGGGCAGCAAGAGCCUGGAGCGCACUUGCUGCUUCCCCAGGAAACAGGGCUGUGCCCGUCCUCGGUGCUGCGUGCAGGGCGAGGCUGCUGGUCCCAUGAGGUGCUCAAAGCACUCCUCAGGUCCCUGCAGGUUUCCCAGAGCCACUGACCCCAAGGAAGUGACUGUGAUCAACAACCACCAGAACACAGAGCAGCCACCCCAGCCUGAGGCCCAGCGCUGCGCUCCUGGAGUGGCCAUGUGGCGUUCUGUGUGGGGGACAGUGGCCUAGCCUCUCUAUGGUCCUGCCCGCGGGCCUUCCACAGGUGCUCGCCCUGUGCAUGCCGAGUGCCUAGGGUGCUGCCCAGCAAGGGCCCACGUAGACUGAGAGUGGGCCCUCUAGGUGUAUGACGUAAUCAGAUGGACACUUUGUCCCUGGGCUAGGACCACCAGGCUUGUCCUGUUACACCUGAGAACUCUUUAAAAUCAUCUGGGUAAGACCCGUACCCUUGCCUCAAGAUCUGCCCCGUUACAGUGAAAACGACAGUGAACCUCGCCCUCAUGCUGGGGGGGUCUGCCCCCACUCCUGGAACCACACCCUCCCCAGGUGCAGGCACCUCCCUCGGCACCGAUUCUGUCCUUCCUUCUGAAGCCCAUGGACACCUCGGGGGUAGCUGCAGCCCCUCAUGCCCUCUCCUCUUCCUCGGCGGCUGGGCUCCUCCCCGACUGUGCUCCCGCGAUUCCUCCUGUGAGCACAGCAGUGCGCCACUUGGCCCACCAGUCCCUGAGUGGCCCGGGCGCCUGUGGUCUUCUCAGCUGUCAUCGGAGUCUGGGGCCUAGCACUGUGCCUCUGCUUCUCCAAGGGGCCAAGAGCCUUUUCUGGCUGGAGUAGGUGCCAGGGGCCAUCUGUUUCGACACUGCCCUUCCACCAAUGCGGAAACGGGGGCUCCAGGUAGGCGCCGACCUGGCUCAAGCUUUGCCCGAGACAUCUGUCCCUCGAUGAAGACGGCCUGGUUUUCCGAGGGCAGUCCAGGCUGUUCUGUCACACGGUGUGCCCCCACCCAGCGUCAGUUUGUGUGCGCUUCUGGAAGCUUCGUGAUAUUCAGGACGCAGGUUCUUUAAAUGUUUGAUUCAAUGUGUUACUUGUGGUCAUCUCUGUUUUUUGAGAAUAAAGGGCAGGAAGUCAUUUGUUGGGAGUGUCCUCUUCAAGGUACCGUCAUGUCGGUGGUGAGAGCAGGUGCUGCCUUCAUGGCUCUGACUUGAGAUGCCUUCUUGGGGAUUUACCUGCGUCUCCCCGGCUGCUGCCGUUGGAUGUCUGCUGCCUCCUUUGUUCUUCCUCGGUCUCUAGGAGCGAGACACCCUUUUAUUUUGUGUUGAAUAUCAAUAUAAGUAAAGUAUCAAUAAUCAAUAUAGUCUCUGACACCAUGUCCUAUAUUUUAUAAGUCCCUUUCCUUGCAAGCAAAUGUUAGCAACCCUAACUUUUAACACAAUUAAAUUAAUUUAAAUGCAUGUUUAUCAGUUAAGGAAAUGGCUUGCUUUAGUUAUGGUGCCAAGAGACAAUAACCGUGUCCAAUAUGUCUGUGUUUCUUAUUUCCAUCUUGGCAAUUAAACCCCAGCGAUGGUGGUUUUUGUUAGUCGUGGUGUAUGUAUCAGCAUUUUGUACAGAUACUAUAAUUCAGUGUGAAGGAAAAUCAGUGUUUUCUGAGCUGAUUUACAUAUGCAUGUCAGAUCCGGCCAUGCCAUUUUUAUGGUAUUGAGGAAAACAAACUGACCUUUUACCAAGUUUUUGAUCCUGAAAGAUUCUGUGUUUUGAAUUUGGAGGGGAGCAGGCUGCGGAGGGAGAGGGGAGACGCGAUUGUUGAUUUAUACCGUGAUGCUAGCAACGGCCAGGACUCUCAGAUGCUUUUCAGCUGUAAUUGUCUCUUUGCUCAAGGCUACUGUAGUUAGACUACGUUCAAUUCCAUUGUCAGCCAGCCCACGAGGCAUGAGGCAUGGAAGCAGAUACUGACCAUAGAGUGGUGCAGACCAUUGUUUGGGUUUCUUCCCUUGCUGAGCACUGCAGUGUUAUUUUACAGACAGGAGAUAUUGUUUCACAGCGUGAUACAAUGCCACUCACUUAUAGAAUCAUAAUCCUUAGAAAGACGUGUUAAAAACUUAUCUAGCUAGCUGUACUCUUAAAAGUGCCUGGUUUUUAUUAUGAUUAUUUUUCAGAAAGAAGUUGAAAACAAAAUGUCACCCAGUAAAUAUGUGUGUGAAUUGCAAAUAUCUGAAAUGGAUAGUUUACCCUUAACAGGAAUAGUAAAAAUACGCUACCAAAGCUUUCAGCUGGCUUCUAUCAAAAUAAUUAUCUUAGCAAUUAUCUCUUCGUUCAUUUAACUUUUGCACGCGGAUGGUGUUUCUGUGCCUUUGUGUUUAUCAACCUCGUGCUUAGAGUUCUCCCAGGAACUAUUAGACUGACAGAUCUGUUUUUUUUUUUUUUUAACAUAGAGAAAAGGAGAAGAAAGGGAACAGGCUAUUUAAGAGGAAUUGCACUCUGAUUCUUAGGUGCUUAGCAAACUAUUUAGAGAUUAAGGUACUGCUCUGGGAGGGGCUUUGUGGUAGGAUCUGCUGAAGGCUGCUCAGGACACAUGCCCCUCCAUACUCAAGACCCCCUGCUCUUCUGGGGGAGGGACCCUAAAGAAAUAAAUCAGGACAAGCCCAUCAGCACGUGCAUACUUAAAUGUCACUUCAAAAGUUUCAUUUUUAGUCGUGAGUCUGUUUUGGGUUCUGUUUUUGCCAUCUCUAGUUAGGAACUUGGUAGGUGCCCUUUGCUCCAUUACACGUUGGUCCAAGAUGCACCGUGCAUAACCGGCAAAGUAAAUGUCCACUUCCUGUUUCUUUUGAUUUUUAAGAGUUCAGUGCACAGAAGUGUUAUUAAAAGAGUUUUUUCUUAAACGGAUAAUUUAUAUAUGCUUCUGUUUGAAAAUAUUCUGAUUUACUGGAGCAGUUUCACCUGCAGAGUGUGAUUCUCCCUUGUUCUAAUCUUGGACCACGCUG